CCGGAAUAGCUCAUUUGGUAGAGCAGAGGACUGAAAAUC
rnacentral:tRNA from 1 species